ACAGCAGUAGCCACGGUAAUACGGAGGAUUCAAGCGUUAUCCGGAAUCAUUGGGUUUAAAGGGUCCGUAGGCGGUCUUGUAAGUCAGUGGUGAAAGCCCAUCGCUCAACGGUGGAACGGCCAUUGAUACUGCAGGACUUGAAUUAUUGGGAAGUAACUAUAAUAUGUAGUGUAGCGGUGAAAUGCUUAGAGAUUACAUGGAAUACCAAUUGCGAAGGCAGGUUACUACCAAUUGAUUGACGCUGAUGGACGAAAGCGUGGGUAGCGAACAGGAUUAGAUACCCCCGUAGUCCCUGUCUCUUAUAC
rnacentral:rRNA from 1 species